rnacentral:lncRNA from 1 species
UUAGCUUCCUAGCUAAUUGUGGCUACCUUUGUGUUCUCCUACACUUCUAUAAUUUUUUCUCUUUGAAUUUUGUAUCUUUGAUGUUCAUAGUUAUGGGUUGUGAGUAAUUUCUUUGUUGGGAGUUAGGGUUGUGAACCCCUAACUCAUCUUGUAUAAAUAUUGAUGCUUUAAUUUUAAUAAAUGCAAUUUCCAUUGUGCUUUGUCACCCUUUGAAAUUAUGUUGUGGGCAAUUGUGAUGAAUGGAUUGAUAAAUUGACAACUUAUUGGUCUUGUUGCAUCUAGGAUUUAAGUGUGGUAACCAUUAGCUAGCUUAAUUGUAGCUAAGCUUGCUUGGGUCUCUAUUAUCUUGCACUCUAGGCCUCUAAUUUUGGAUAUU